GACGAACGCUGGCGGCGCGCUUAACACAUGCAAGUCGAACGGAAAGGCCUGCUUUCCCUUGUGGAUUGCGGGUACUCGAGUGGCGAACGGGUGAGUAACACGUGAGUGAUCUGCCCCCAACUUGGGUAUAAGCCUGGGAAACUGGGUCUAAUUCCCGAUAGGACUGCAGGGUGGUGCCUGUGGUGGAAAACGAUUUUCUAGUGGUUGGGGAUGAGCUCGCGGCCUAUCAGCUUGUUGGUGGGGCAAUGGCCUACCAAGGCGGCGACGGGUAGCCGGCCUGGGAGGGUGGACGGCCACAUUGGGACUGAGAUACGGCCCAGACUCCUACGGGAGGCAGCAGUGGGGAAUAUUGCACAAUGGGCGGAAGCCUGAGGCAGCGACGCCGCGUGGGGGAUGACGGCCUUCGGGUUGUAAACUCCUUUCGACCGCGAGGAAGCCACCUGGUUGGAAGGGUGGUGACGGUAGUGGUAGAAGAAGCACCGGCUAACUACGUG
rnacentral:rRNA from 1 species